GAUGAACGCUGGCGGCGUGCUUAACACAUGCAAGUCGAACGGAAAGGCCACAGCUUGCUGUGGUACUCGAGUGGCGAACGGGUGAGUAACACGUGGGUGAUCUGCCCUGUACUUCGGGAUAAGCCUGGGAAACUGGGUCUAAUACCGGAUAGGAAUCACAUGUGGGUGUGUGGUUGGAAAGCUUUUGCGGUAUGGGAUGAGCUCGCGGCCUAUCAGCUUGUUGGUGGGGUAAUGGCCUACCAAGGCGUCGACGGGUAGCCGGCCUGUGAGGGUGUACGGCCACAUUGGGACUGAGAUACGGCCCAGACGCCUGCGGGAGGCAGCAGUGGGGAAUAUUGCACAAUGGGCGCAAGCCUGAGGCAGCGACGCCGCGUGGGGGAUGACGGCCUUCGGGUUGUAAACUCCUUUCGUCAGGGACGAAGCGAAAGUGACGGUACCUGGAUAAGAAGCACCGGCUAACUACGUG
rnacentral:rRNA from 1 species